CCUACGGGAGGCUGCAGUGGGGAAUAUUGGACAAUGGGGGGAACCCUGAUCCAGCCAUGCCGCGUGUGUGAAGAAGGCCCUCGGGUUGUAAAGCACUUUCAGUGAGGAAGAACGCCUGGUGGUUAAUACCCAUCAGGAAAGACAUCACUCACAGAAGAAGCACCGGCUAACUCCGUGCCAGCAGCCGCGGUAAUACGGAGGGUGCGAGCGUUAAUCGGAAUUACUGGGCGUAAAGCGCGCGUAGGUGGCUUGAUAAGCCGGUUGUGAAAGCCCCGGGCUCAACCUGGGAACGGCAUCCGGAACUGUCAAGCUAGAGUGCAGGAGAGGAAGGUAGAAUUCCCGGUGUAGCGGUGAAAUGCGUAGAGAUCGGGAGGAAUACCAGUGGCGAAGGCGGCCUUAUGGACUGACACUGACACUGAGGUGCGAAAGCGUGGGUAGCAAACAGGAUUAGAUACCCCUGUAGUC
rnacentral:rRNA from 1 species